rnacentral:lncRNA from 1 species
AACGAAGCCCUCAGCAGGUGCUGACGGGUACAACUUCCUGGAGAAGCAGAAGAAGGGCACUGGUGCCGAACACGAAUUGUAAACUGUGAAGUAACUACUAUGGAAAAGAUUAAGUAAAGCAUUGGAGGCGGAUGAUUUUGACAAUAAAGAGGGUGUAUGUGACAGUGAAUGCCUCAGGUGGUGGAUUGAGGAAAAAAAAAAAUUGUCAGCAGACCUACACACAACCUGUCAACAGCAGAAAGAGUGGAUUUGAGUCUCCUGCCAGAAAUCUGAAAAGGAUGCAUUUGUGGAGCAUCAGUACAAGUAUAGACACCAGAACAAAGGUUUUUCACCGUUUGAAAUUACUCCAGAUUUUAAAAUUAAAUACAGCAAAAUAGAAAAAAAAUUCUAAAUACUUCAA